GAGACACGGUCCAAACUCCUACGGGAGGCAGCAGUGAGGAAUAUUGGUCAAUGGGCGGGAGCCUGAACCAGCCAAGUAGCGUGAAGGAUGACGGCCCUACGGGUUGUAAACUUCUUUUAUAAGGGAAUAAAGUUCGCCACGUGUGGUGUUUUGUAUGUACCUUAUGAAUAAGCAUCGGCUAAUUCCGUGCCAGCAGCCGCGGUAAUACGGAAGAUGCGAGCGUUAUCCGGAUUUAUUGGGUUUAAAGGGAGCGUAGGCGGGCUUUUAAGUCAGCGGUCAAAUGCCACGGCUCAACCGUGGCCAGCCGUUGAAACUGCAAGCCUUGAGUCUGCACAGGGCACAUGGAAUUCGUGGUGUAGCGGUGAAAUGCUUAGAUAUCACGAAGAACUCCGAUCGCGAAGGCAUUGUGCCGGGGCAGCACUGACGCUGAGGCUCGAAAGUGCGGGUAUCAAACAGGAUUAGAUACCCUGGUAGUCCGCACGGUAAACGAUGAAUGCUCGCUAUGGGCGAUACAAUGUCCGUGGCCAAGCGAAAGCGUUAAGCAUUCCACCUGGGG
rnacentral:rRNA from 1 species